rnacentral:lncRNA from 1 species
AGAAUUCAGUUUAGUUGAGCUCCACAUUUACCAAGUGACUGAGACAAAGCUCCAGCAGACGUGAAUUGCAGCUUGGGUCCGUUUUCGUAGAGAACGACACCAAUGAAGCCCCUGUGUCUGCCGGGUCUCAGGCAUUGUGCCAAGGGCCUGCCGGGAUAGAAAGAGGAAGGACACAAGUUUCGAGCUCAGUCUGAUGAAGGAGACACGUAAACAGCUCUGUACAACAUCUCUUCUCAUCAGCUGCACUUGCUGUGACCAGAGGGUGGCUGAUUUCUGAAAUUCAUUGGAACAUAA